GGGAACCAGACUUUCAGAGAUGGAUUGGUGCCUUCGGGAACUCUGAGACAGGUGCUGCAUGGCUGUCGUCAGCUCGUGUUGUGAAAUGUUGGGUUAAGUCCCGCAACGAGCGCAACCCUUAUCCUUGUUUGCCAGCGAGUAAUGUCGGGAACUCCAGGGAGACUGCCGGUGAUAAACCGGAGGAAGGUGGGGACAACGUCAAGUCAUCAUGGCCCUUACGAGUAGGGCUACACACGUGCUACAAUGGCGCAUACAGAGGGCAGCCAACUUGCGAAAGUGAGCGAAUCCCAAAAAGUGCGUCGUAGUCCGGAUUGGAGUCUGCAACUCGACUCCAUGAAGUCGGAAUCGCUAGUAAUCGUGGAUCAGAAUGCCACGGUGAAUACGUUCCCGGGUCUUGUACACACCGA
rnacentral:rRNA from 1 species